rnacentral:rRNA from 1 species
CCGCGGUAAUACGAAGGGUGCAAGCGUUAAUCGGAAUUACUGGGCGUAAAGCGCGCGUCGACCUGAAGUUAAAGGCUGUGGCUCAACCAUAGUUCGCUUUGGAAACUGUCAAACUUGAGUGCAGAAGGGGAGAGUGGAAUUCCAUGUGUAGCGGUGAAAUGCGUAGAUAUAUGGAGGAACACCGGUGGCGAAAGCGGCUCUCUGGUCUGUAACUGACGCUGAGGCUCGAAAGCGUGGGGAGCAAACAGGAUUAGAUACCCUGGUAGUCCAUGCCGUAAACGAUGAUUACUAAGCGUCGGGGGUCGAACCUCGGCACUCAAGCUAACGCGAUAAGUAAUCCGCC